AUUCAGCUGACGAGUCCAGAAUAGAACGAAACAGACGUCCUGGAU
rnacentral:hammerhead_ribozyme from 1 species